GCCAACGUCGGUCAUCCAAAAUCCCGCGUUGCUCCUCUCCAUCCUCCUUUCGAAACCACCUCCUCCUGUCUUUCCACCUACUUCUCAGGGGGAAGAAAGCGUGCCGGGAGUAAAGUAGAGAGGGAGCAGGAGAGGAAUCGGCUUUCUCGUUUGCCAAGACAGGACCAGCUUUGAUCUCGGUUUGCCCUUUGACGUGACAAUCGCAGCUCGCAGGAAAAUCCAGUCGAUUCCUGAGCUCCGUCGCAUCCGGUGCGGCCAAGCUGAUCGCUUUUUGGUCCGCUGUCUCGUUUGGUGCUAGAAAGCAGGGAUUUCGGUGGGGGGUUGGAGGAGGUUGGGAAAGGUCGGAACUUGGUGUCUCUGGAAGUUCGGAGGCGUUCAGGGGUCAUGGACGCUCGAUAGGGUUAAGUUCCGUACGAAAGAUGGCGGAAGAAGGAGGAGAAGAAACUAAGGUUCGGGUGGUGCGAUGCCCGAAUUGCAGUGGACUCCUCCCGGAGCUGGCCAAUCUCUCGGUCUAUCGCUGCGGUGGCUGCGGUGCUACUCUUCAAGUAAAAAGACCAGUCUCCGUGUCAGAGGCCUUGCCAGAGCAAUCUGAAGGUGUAAACGCCAAGUAUCCUGAGGUCCUAGAAAAUAGUGCAGAGAAGAAAUGGGUGGUCUUGGAUGCAAAGUCGGAGACUGAUCGUGAGUGUAAUGGAGCUGAGAGUAUGAGACAGAAGGAUGUAGGUCCAGAGAGAGCAGAAAGUUCCCAUGGUAUUUCUGUAUCUGAAACUGAACAAACAAUUGUUUCAAAGGAAGCCGACUCCUUCCAGUUAGAAGACUCUGCCAAAGGGUGUGUAGCACAAAGCAAGGGCGAUGAUUGUCAGCAUGAGGCAAUAUUACCAGUUGGCAAUCUUGGUGAAAAUGCAGAAGCUUUAAUUAAAGCAAAUUUACAUGAGGGAGAUAAAGCCAAGCAAUCAGUUGAUAUGUUUUUCUGUGCUCAGCAGGCACAAGUCCAGAAGGGUGAGGAGAGUCUAAAUCGAAAGGCUUUCAAAGCAGAAAUCCAACGUGAUCCGUACCCUGAUGAAGGCCCAUCUGACUAUCAUCAGAAUUCAAGGCGUGUAUGCACUGAUGGUGAUCGUGACAGGAGGCAGAAUGGUGCUGGUGCUGGCAGAGAUCAAGACCAAGCAGAGCUUCUGAGACUGAUUGAUAAAUUGAGGAAUCAAGUGCAAAGAACACGUGAGGUCUCAAGCAAGCAAAAGCUGAGUGCUACAGUUGAUAGAAUGACAGCUUGUGCCAAUAGGUUUCCUGACAGCUCAUGGUCAUUGAAUCGCAAUCCAUCUUGCCGGCCUGCAACACUCCGGGAUCACAAUGGUAAUAUGCUUGGUCUGAACGACAUGCCUGGACUUGGUGAUCCUUUGGCACGUAGAAGAGCUCCAUUUCAGUUAGGUGGUGAGUACCCUCAGAGGCUACCUGAUAAUUAUCUUAAUGGGCACUUCGAUCCUGAUCCUAUUAUGACUUAUAAUCAAGAACCCUUUUACCAUAAACCUGCUUGUUCAUGUGCCCGUUGCUUCCGCAGACAAUUCUCAGUCCUUGCAAGAGGCCCCCCAACAACAUUUGGCCAUCAGAGGGUCCCAUGUUUUGUGAAUAAUCAUAAGUUACAUCCAGUUGAUGCUCCCUCGAUCUUUGGUUCACGAAGUUAUAAUUCAAGAUUCAGAAAUGCUUCCUUUCAUUCGCAUGAGCCGCAAGCAUACCAGAGGGCCAUGUUCAGUAAGAAUGUUGGACGUUCUUGUCAACCCUUUGCUGGUGCUGCCCCUUUUAUGGUAUGUUGUAAUUGUUUUGAACUUCUGGAACUACCUGCUAAAUUGUUGUUUUCAAGAAAGAAGAAGUUUAAUCUGCGAUGUGGAGCUUGCUCCAAGGUCAUUUUGGUCCAGCGUGAUGGAAGUCGACUUGUUGCAUCUGGUCUGGCACCAACAACAUCUCUUUCAUCCAAGAACAAUGACAUUGGCUGUAGCCCAGGCGACUGUGUUCAGUCUACAGAUGAGAAGUUAGUUCUGCCUUGUAUUGUCACUAGCAGCGAUAAUGAGAUGAUAGAAAGGGCACAUGGGUUGAAGAACUUGGAUGAGUUAGAAAAAAGAAGGGUCCAUCUUCAUCUUCCACUAUGUCGGAGCAUGUUGACAUCUCAAAUAACAUUUUCUCACAGGACGUUCCUACCUCUUCAGAUAUUCCCUUAGAACCUCAGGUUAUUUCACGUGUGCCAAGUUUACCAAUUCGCAAACAUCUUGGUUCCUCAUUGUCUGAUCAAGCAAAUGAUGCAUCUGGAACUGGAAGCUGCAGUAGACGCUCAGAACAAGAUAAAAAUACGCCCUCAAGUAGUAAAUUUAGACAGAACUCAGUAAAAGAUGUUACGAUGGCAACUGAGAUGGACGUGUCAGUUAAUGAGUUUCCAAAUGCAAAUUCUUCUCAUGAUUAUUCGGACAUGAUAAGUGAACAUGAUGUUCAACCAAGGGUCAUCAAAGCUGGUGACUCAUUCCUUGCAGGCCUCAAGAAGAGUUUUCGUUUCCACAAAGCGAUGGGAUCUGGCGACUCUAAAGUUUCAGUUAAUGGUCAUCCAAUUCCUGAUCGUCUAGUUAAAAAAGCUGAAAAACAAGCUGGCCUAAUCCAUCCUGGUGACUAUUGGUAUGACUAUCACGCUGGAUUUUGGGGUGUCAUGGGGCAUCCAUGUCAUGGCAUUAUUCCUCCAUUUAUUGAAGAGUUCAAUUACCCUAUGCCCAAGAAUUGUGGCAGGGGAAAUACUGGUGUUAUUGUGAAUGGGAGAGAGCUUCAUCAUAAAGACCUGGACUUGCUUAUUGGUCGAGGGCUUCCAUCUGCUCCUGGUUCUUAUAAAAUUGAGAUUUCUGGGAGAGUUUGGGAUGAAUCCUCUGGUGAAGAGUUGGAUAGCCUUGGCAAGCUUGCACCAACGGUCGAGAGAAACAAACAUGGAUUUGGCAUGUGGGUUCCUUGAGUCCUUGCCAACUGAUGCAUCGAUACUUGAUGAACAUGCCCGAGAAAGCAUGCGGAAGAGUUUUCAGUCGUGAUAAACACAUAAGAAUCAUCUUGUCGGGAGUGUUUCUUUGAUUGUGGUGUUGUUCUCUUGUCCUCCCGCAGCAAUCAAUUGUAUCUUCUAAAGGUUUUCUCUUUUCUUUUAUUUGUGAAUUCCCGUUCAAUUUGUUCGGCAGGUUUUUGUAGAAGUCUCACCUUGCUUUGCACCCUUGUCA